GACGAAGGGGGCUAGCGUUGUUCGGAAUUACUGGGCGUAAAGCGCGUGUAGGCGGUUGCCAAAGUCGGGUGUGAAAGCCUUGAGCUCAACUCAAGAAUUGCACUCGAUACUUGGUGACUAGAGGACCGGAGAGGAUAGUGGAAUUCCCAGUGUAGUGGUGAAAUACGUAGAGAUUGGGAAGAACACCAGUGGCGAAGGCGGCUAUCUGGACGGUUUCUGACGCUAAGACGCGAAAGCGUGGGGAGCAACAGG
rnacentral:rRNA from 1 species